AAGAAGAGAGAACCCAUAGAAAGAAAAAAAAAAAAAAAAAGAAAGAGAAGAAGAAGAAGAAGAUGUAAAGUGAGAGAUUGAGAUUGCCGAUGAUUCUGGAAAUCAAAGCUGGAGCUCCAAAACCGUCUACCAAAAAUAGCAGAAAACCAUGCGUAGGGACACCUCUCAUUUACCUUUCUUCCUCCAAAUCUGAUUCAAUUCCAAACCAAAAAACGCGGUUUUACUUUUUUCUCUAUUUUAUUUUGGAUUUCUCCUACUUUUCUAUCUCAAAAAGGCUUUUUUUUCCCCUUUUCAAUUUUACUACAUUCUUUGAUUCUUCAUUGUUCAUAAUAGUAUAUGUAAUCCUUUACUAUGAUUUUGUACAAAUUCUUAAUACUUAUUGUAUAGGUUUAAUUAAUUUCGUUCUAAAUUGUUUGCGAUUGGCGUCUAGUUCUUGAAAUUUUCGGUUUUUGUUUUUCGAUCUCUGGUUUUCGUGAGGAAAGUGGAGAUUCAACCUCGUAGGAUUUGCGGUUUCUCUGUCCUUCUCGUUGUCGCUGUUGCAGCAGCAUUACAGUUUUGAUUUUUUUUUUUCCCUUUUUCCGUUUGGUUUUUAGUGUUUGGAUUUGUGUCAGGUUUCUCUGUGUUAUUUCUCUCCUCUCCUAUUUGCAGUUUUUCUGUUAUUCAGAUGAGUUGCUUUUCUUGUAUGAGCCCUAGCCGAAAGGACAUCAGCAAAAUUGAAGACAGUAACGGCCUUCGACCCAACUCUCGCUAUUCGCUUGAUUCUUCUGCACGUAGCAGGGAAAGUGGCAAAGGCAAGGACAUCAACUCUCAUUCAACUGCUGCCCGUAGUUUUGCAUUUCGAGAACUUGCCACUGCGACCCGAAACUUCAAGCCUAAUAAUUUGAUAGGGGAAGGGGGUUUUGGAAGGGUUUAUAAAGGGCGCUUAGACACGGGCCAGAUUGUUGCUGUCAAACAACUUGAUCAAAAUGGCCUUCAGGGGAAUCAGGAAUUCAUUGUGGAGGUUCUCAUGUUGAGCCUUCUUCACCAUUCCAAUCUUGUCAACUUGAUUGGUUACUGUACUGAUGGAGACCAAAGGCUCUUAGUUUACGAGUACAUGCCGAUGGGAAGUUUAGAGGAUCAUCUGUUCGAUCUGGAACCUGGCACUGAGCCAUUGGAAUGGAAUACACGGAUGAAGAUUGCCGUUGGUGCUGCUCGGGGCCUUGAGUAUCUGCAUUCCAAGGCAAAUCCACCUGUUAUCUACCGUGAUUUGAAGUCUUCAAAUAUUUUAUUGGAUAAUGACUUUAAUUCCAAGCUGUCUGAUUUUGGUCUUGCCAAAUUGGGUCCUGUUGGUGACAAAACUCAUGUUUCGACAAGGGUGAUGGGGACAUAUGGCUACUGUGCCCCAGAAUAUGCUAUGAGUGGGAAGCUGACGCUCAAGUCCGAUGUGUAUGGCUUUGGCGUGGUUCUGUUGGAAUUGAUCACAGGAAGAAAGGCAAUUGACACCACUAAGGCACAUGGAGAGCAGAACCUGGUUGCUUGGUCCCGUCCCUACUUCAAAGACCGGAGGAAGUUCAUUCAGGUGGUUGACCCUCUGCUGCAAGGCCGCUUCCCUGUUCGCUCUCUGCACCAUGUAAUUGCCAUAACUGUGAUGUGUCUUCAAGAGCAGCCAAAUUUUCGACCUUUGAUGGGGGAUGUUGUUGUUGCUCUGGAAUACUUGAGCUCUCAACCUUACAAAACAGAGGCACACAGCAGUGCAAAACACAGUCCUCCAUCACCUUCACAACGAGAUAGGAAAAAGAUUUCUCGAGAACCAGAUGUUAGAAAUUCUUUUUAAAGGUUGUGAAGCAGAAUAAGAAUGAGAGAUCUGAUCUGGAGGCACCAAGUAAUUUGUAUGGGUAAUUUAGCUCAGCUGAUUACAGGAUGGACUUUCUAAAAUAAGAAGAAACAAAGAAUGUAGCCCUGUUACUGUUCAAAGAAUACUACAAGGAAAAACUUGUUACCAGUAUCUCUAUGUACUAAAUGCUUGUAAGAAUGUGUAAAUAUGUAUAUGGGUUUGUUGUGUGGCUUGGUUUAAUGGGAUAAGGAGAUAAUCUAUUCUGAGGUCCUUGGUGUACUCUAUUUGGGCAACAAUAUAUGGCUGCUGUUGCAUGCAACAAUUGCUUCUAAAAUUGGGUGGAGGGAUGUCAAACUGUUACUUGAAAUGGGGAGAAACUGGUGGAAAGAAAUUUUGGCCUAUUACAUCUCUUUUAAAUGGUGAUAUAUAAAAGUAAGCAGAAUAGAACUUUGUUUUUUUC